CAGAGAAAAAAAAAUUAUUUUACAUUUGACAGUAUAACUGACAAGUUGGAUUAUGCGUUCUCAUGUUGAUUAUCACGUGCCAGUGGAAAGUAAUUGUGUACUUCUUUUAGUAGCUGAAUAUACAUAUGAAUACAUACGUUGAUUAUUUUAUAUGAACACUGGGAGACUAUAUCAAAUAUACUUGUCAAUUUCAAUUGAUUACAGCAUCAUCUGGUCUACGAAGUACAUGAACAACCGAUUUACCAAUGAAUUUAACAAUUUUAUCACAAUGGGCAAGGCUAGAGAAAAGAGCUAGUUGACACGGUAGUGAUCGCAAGUGACAUCCGGAUAUUAGGCCGGAGAUGACGUGUACGAGAACCGACCAAGCUUCUGUAAUUCACCGUGAGUCACUUUUUGCUGAAACGAAACCCCGCGUCAAUUACAAAGUUGACUGAAGAUCUUCAAUCAGCGGUUAACAAGAAAAUUUGUAAAAAUUACAAAUAGCACAUCAAAGGGAAACUUAAAAAAAACACCGAUGUUCAGACAAUAGAUAACGCGAUGAUACAUUUUUUUUAUCAUAGUUAUUAUUAUAGUUAAUAUCCAUAUAAUUAUCAAUAACUACAGUAAAACACAAAACAAAAAAUGUGAUAUCUGUACAUUCUUCUUACAUGAUUAACAUAAACUCUUGUAUACCAGUAUGAUAGCUUACAAUAGGAAGAAAUUAAAUGAUAAUAUU